rnacentral:rRNA from 1 species
UGAGGGAAAGGUGAAAAGCACCCCGAGAGGGGAGUGAAAUAGUACCUGAAACCGCACGCCUACAAUCAGUGGAAGGACUAUGGCCUUCGGGCAAAGUCUGACUGCGUGCCUUUUGCAUAAUGAGCCGGCGACUUACUCUGUGUGGCAAGGUUAAGGGCUUCUGGUCCGAAGCCGAAGCGAAAGCGAGUCUUAAUAGGGCGCACAGUUGCAUGGAGUAAACCCGAAUCCGAGUGAUCUAUCCAUGGCCAGGGUGAAAUUUCUGUAACAGGAAAUGGAGGCCCCAACCAAUAUCGGUUGAAAACGAUUUGGAUGAGCUGUGGAUAGGGGCGAAAGACCAAUCAAACUCGGUGAUAGCUGGUUCUCCUCGAAAUAGCUUUAGGGCUAGCGUCACGUGGUAGCACACGGGGGUAGAGCACUGGAUGGGCUAGGGGUCUCACCCGAUUACCGAACCCAACCAAACUCCGAAUACCGUGUGUGGAAUCGUGGCAGUCAGAAUAUGGGGGAUAAGCUCCGUAUUCAAAAGGGAAACAGCCCAGACCGCCAGUUAAGGUCCCUAAAUUACGCUAAGUGUGAAACGAUGUGCGAUUACAUAAACAACCAGGAUGUUGGCUUAGAAGCAGCCAUUCAUUUAAAGAGUGCGUAAUAGCUCACUGGUCGAGCGAUCGUGCGCGGAAAAUGUAACGGGGCUAAGCGUAAUACCGAAGCUGCGGGUUGCACACUAGUUGUGCAGCGGUAGAGGAGCGUUCCAUUCAGGAGUGAAGCGUGACCGUGAGGACGCGUGGACCGUAUGGAAGUGAACAUGCCGGCAUGAGUAACGAUAAGGAAGGUGAGAAUCCUUCCCGCCGAAAGUCUAAGGUUUCCCGGGCCAGGUGAAUCCGCCCGGGGUUAGUCGGAUCCUAAGUUAAGGCCGAAAGGCGUAGACGAUGGGAAACAGGCACAAAGAUUCCUGUACCACCAGGUAACCGUUUUGAGUGAUGGGGUGACGCAGGAGGAUAAGACAGCUGUCUGCUGGAAUAGACAGUCUAAGCGUGUGGGCCGCAAUCCAGGAAAAUCCGGGUUGCACAAGGCUGAGGCGUUAAGGGACGUGAAUCCUUUCGAGGUGAAGCGAAUUGUCUGAUUCCACACUGCCAAGAAAAACCUCUAGCAAGGUUACAGGUGACCGUACCGCAAACCAACACAGGUAGACGAGAUGAGUAUUCUAAGGCGCUCGGGUGAUCCACCCUUAAGGAACUCGACCAAAUAGCCCCGUAUCUUCGGAAGAAGGGGUGCUGCUGGUGGUGAUGGCCCUCGCGGCCUCAGCUGCUGGCAGCGACAGUAAAGUGGCUCGGGCGACUGUUUACUAAAAACAUAGGUCUCUGCUAAGUCGUAAGACGAUGUAUAGGGACUGACGCCUGCCCAAUGCCGGAAGGUUAACGGGAGGAGUCAAGGCGUAAGCCGGCAGCUCUGAACCGAAGCCCCGGUUAAUGGCGGCCGUAACUAUAACGGUCCUAAGGUAGCGAAAUUCCUUGUCGGGUAAGUUCCGACCUGCACGAAUGGCGUAACGAUCCGAGCAUUGUCUCGAGGGUGGGCCCGGUGAAAUUGUACUACGAGUGAAGAUGCUCGUUACCCGCAUAAGGACGGAGAGACCCCGUGCACCUUUACUACAGCUUGAUAUUGGAUUUAGUGGCCUCUUGUAUAGGAUAGGUGGGAGACGUUGAGACUGGAGCGCCAGCUUCGGUGGAGUCACCCUUGGAAUACCACCCUGGUUGUCAUUGAAUUCUAACUCCGAACCCGUGAAUCCGGGCGGAGGACAGUGUCUGGUGGGUAGUUUGACUGGGGCGGUCGCCUCCUAAAGAGUAACGGAGGCGCCCAAAGGU